UACAGAGGGGGCAAGCGUUAUUCGGAAUUAUUGGGCGUAAAGGGCGCGUAGGCGGCUUUGCAAGUGACGGGUGAAAGCCCUCGGCUUAACCGAGGAACUGCCUGUCAGACUGUAAGGCUUGAGUCCGGGAGAGGUGAGUGGAAUUCCCAGUGUAGCGGUGAAAUGCGUAGAUAUUGGGAGGAACACCAGUGGCGAAGGCGGCUCACUGGCCCGGUACUGACGCUGAGGUGCGAAAGCGUGGGGAGCAAACAGG
rnacentral:rRNA from 1 species